UACAGAGGUCUCAAGCGUUGUUCGGAUUCAUUGGGCGUAAAGGGUGCGUAGGCGGGUCUUUAAGUCAGGGGUGAAAUCCUGGAGCUCAACUCCAGAACUGCCUUUGAUACUGGGAGACUUGAGUCCGGGAGAGGUGAGUGGAACUGCGAGUGUAGAGGUGAAAUUCGUAGAUAUUCGCAAGAACACCAGUGGCGAAGGCGGCUCACUGGCCCGGUACUGACGCUGAGGCACGAAAGCGUGGGGAGCAAACAGG
rnacentral:rRNA from 1 species